CCUACGGGUGACAGCAGUGAGGAAUAUUGGUCAAUGGUCGUAAGCCUGAACCAGCCAAGUCGCGUGAGGGAUGACGGUCCUAUGGAUUGUAAACCUCUUUUAUAGGGGAGUAAAGUGCGCCACGCGUGCCGUUCCGUAUGUACCCUAUGAAUAAGGAUCGGCUAACUCCGUGCCAGCAGCCGCGGUAAUACGGAGGAUCCGAGCGUUAUCCGGAUUUAUUGGGUUUAAAGGGUGCGCAGGCGGACGUUCAAGUCAGCGGUAAAAUUCUGGGGCUCAACCUCUUCGAGCCGUUGAAACUGGUGGGCUGGAGUGAGCGAGAGGCAGGCGGAAUGCGUGGUGUAGCGGUGAAAUGCAUAGAUAUCACGCAGAACUCCGAUUGCGAAGGCAGCAUGCCGGGGCACAACUGACGCUGAUGCACGAAAGUGUGGGUAUCGAACAGGAUUAGAUACCCCGGUAGUC
rnacentral:rRNA from 1 species